rnacentral:rRNA from 1 species
UACGGAGGGUGCAAGCGUUAUCCGGAUUUACUGGGUUUAAAGGGUGCGUAGGUGGGUCUGUAAGUCAGUGGUGAAAUCUCCGAGCUUAACUCGGAAACUGCCAUUGAUACUAUAGGUCUUGAAUUAUCUGGAGGUGAGCGGAAUAUGUCAUGUAGCGGUGAAAUGCUUAGAUAUGACAUAGAACACCAAUUGCGAAGGCAGCUCACUACGGAUAUAUUGACACUGAGGCACGAAAAGCGUGGGGGAUCAAACAGG